UCAACCAUCAAGCCUGGCUUGUCGUUGGACCUCUUUGCAGCUGAAAUAAGCGGCAGGUCCGAAAGAUAAUGACGGCGUCGUGUUUGACCCUAGAUGCAACGAGCUUUUCAUAGCACGCAUUGAAGUGGUCGGCCGACCCGGUCUUUAACCAUCAUUUUUCUAA
rnacentral:misc_RNA from 1 species